rnacentral:lncRNA from 1 species
CUGAAUAUCAUACUAGCAUACUGUGCCUAGGGCUAACCCCCGGGUCAUCUACUCAUAACUACAUGGGCCGGCAUUGUGGCCAUAGACCCAUUCACACAAAAGGGAAACUCACCUGCACUGGCUGAACUCGCUGAUGAUCCCACUAGCUGGUGUCCGACAACUCUCUGAACUCCUGCUCCACUAGCUCCCUGAGCUACCAAUAUCAAUGCAACACUUAGUCUAACUGACCCCUUCAAUAUCUCAGAAAGGUUCCAGAACUCCAGAUCUAUAGCCAAUCCUUGAAGCUUCAAUGAUUCCCCUCUUUCUUCUUCCUUCAAAUCACCCAAAAAUGGCUUGGAAGCUUCAAUGCACAACAAUGGAGGCUUAAGGUUCGUUUCCUGGGAGAGAGAGAUAGCAAAGGAGCCCUAGGGAAGAGAAUAAGACGCUUAAAUAGGCUACAAGUCCCGAAUUUAGGGUUUUCCUCGUACAGACCAGACUCGCCGAGUCUCCUUGGCCGACUUGCCGAGUCGGUCACUUACUCCUCGACCCGGAUCCCGCUUGGACUCGCCGCGUUCAUCCUUGAACUCGCCGAGUCGUCCCCUAAACUUAGGGUUUCCUUUCCUUUCUUGGCCUUACUGACUUUGGGUGUUACAACUCUCCCCCACUUAAACUAAACUUCGUCCUUGAAGUUUGCUAUGGCCCACCGCCUGUGAUCUGCUUUCGAUACCCAACUAAUCAUUCCAACACCAGCUGGCUACCUUCGCUGGUCUUCCGCCUGGUCACUCCGGCUAACAUUAAUUCUUGCGGACUAAUAACAUCGGGUCAACCCUGACCCUGAACAUUCUGGAAACACAUCUCACUCCACCGACAAUCUUUCUGGUACUCACCGAGUACUGCACUGAACCUAUAGGGGUUCACCCCUUCCUUCCUUGCGCGAUUUCCUUUCCUUCCCAAGGCAAUGCUCCAUAACCAACUAUUUCCUAUGUCACUGUGAAGGUCCUAUCCUUCACCAACUCCAUCACCCCCGCUAUUUCCAGUACGGGUCAUCACCGUCAGUAACCACUGACACUCCUCUCUGUCAAAAUUUGGUGCCGAGCACCCCUCGAUUCAACUGACUGAAUUCCACCAUACACUGCUUACCCGCGGUACUACUGACCGAAAAUCCUGCUAUUCCUUGUCUGCCUUCCAGAUGAACUGAGACCACCGUGGUCCCUACCAACCUAUCAAUGUUUGGAUUACCGGCUCCCACCGGUAGCUAGUCCCAUCACCACCACUAGUCGCUCCCAGCGACUUCCGAAGAAACUUCGACCACCUAUAACUGCUCAAUCUAUUCUGCCAUUCAGGCACUACAAACCUGGGAUCCCUGAUCCCCUAACUUGACACUAAGGUCCCUACCAGGCCCCACCUGCGCUGCUAAAACUCACGGGCCUCGCCUACAGGUCCCACUCGCCUCUAUCCUUCUAGUCACACUAGUCUAAUCACUCUCGCUCGGGCCUCGCCCAUGGGUCUCACCCAACCAUACUACUGAGCAACCCUGCUCUCAGGUCUCAUCUACACUGCUAAUCUCAUACGGGCCUCGCCCACGGGUCUCACCCAACUAUAUCCUGGAGCGGCUUCUCCAAGGUCUCACCUCUCUAGGGCUAUACAGGCAAAUUCCCUAUCAUUCUCAUCCACUACCCAUUCCUGAUCCCUAUCUGAUCACUAGGAGAUAAGGGCCUCGCCCCAACUCCGCUAACGAAGCUACUAAGGAAUGCUACGGCUUACCCGUAGUCUUACAUCACCAUCCAUUGCUGACUGCUAGUGAAUGCUACGGCUGCCCCGUAGUCUUACAACACUUCUACCACUGACUGCUAGUGAAUGCUACGGCUGCCGCGUAGUCUUACAACACUUUCCACCACUGACUGCUAGUGAACGCUACGGCUGCCCCGUAGUCUUACAUCACUUCUACCACUUACUGCUAAUACGAAGGCACCCAUGUGCCAUUAGCUCUCAAGAUCCUCAUUCCGACUCGCUCGAGUCCUACAGGCGAUCCAUCAAUCUGAAUUCCUAACCACAUACUAACCAUUACCACCACACGCACUAGCUGAUGCGGAGUUUCUCAAACUCCCAACCCUGAAAUCCUCGAUCCAUCCCACGCUGAACCACUUCUUUUCCUUCUCGGAGGUCGCGCGCUCAUUCUGGAUCUACGUGCUCCUACCUUCGCACACUCGGAGGAUUCUCCCUCACUUCGAUCCUGCUUACCCCUUGCUGCUCAAUGCUCAGAAAGAAAUCCCAAUCCUUGCUACCAUUCCAUAAUCAAUCUGCUGAGGAACCCAAGCUUACCAUAGCUAGGGAUCUAACCAAUCCAUCUCUAACACUAUCCAACUCCGAUCUAGCGAGACAUACCAAAUCCCUCCCAAUCGUGCUACAGUUACUGCAUCUUAUGAAACUUUCUCCAAUAGGGCACAUCCCCUCACUACCAUUCAAAAAUCCAAGGUAUGUAGAUAGCAUAUAACUCGAUCACACUCAACCGCUCAAAAUAAAAUACUCAUACCGAUACUGAUGCAGAACCAUAACAAUAUAAUCAUGCACGAAUAAAAGGACUGAAAAUGGAAAUCGCAUACCUGCAACGUCCGGUGCUACUCGCGUCUCCAAGGUAGUCAUCUGAGAAGCCCCGCCUCCUACCGCAGGCGCCUCUGCACGGCCCUGCCGACCGUCCGUGGUCCUCAAGGUUGCAGGGGCAGGUGCCAUCACCCGNGGGGCAUUGGGCCUUUUUGUGGCCCCACUGAUUGUAGUGAAAACAUAACAAGUCUGAUCCCUGUGAGGUGGUAACAGUACAAUCCCUACUGAAAUGACCAGUCCGACCGCACUUGAAACAGCAGACUCACCACCGCUACCACUCCUACACGCGCCUCUGUGUGCCCUGCCACACUUCCCGCACCGACUGCGGUCCUAAUAAUCCCUCGACCUCGAAUCCGAUCCCUUGGGCCUUUUACCCGAACCUGCAGCUACAUGAACCUCAUUCGGCUUCCUCUUCCAGAUCUGCUCCAAAUCAAUUUCCCUCUCUCUAUCCCGAGAAAUCAUAUCUUCCAGCGUCUAACAGCUGGAUCUGCUCACGAACUCCCUGAUGUCAUCCCUCAACAUCUCAUGGUAUCGGGCCUUCUUCAUCACCUCAUCCGCGACAUACUGCGGUACAAGAAGAGCCCUCUUCCUGAGCUUGGCGGUGAUCUCCGCCACAGUCUCAGUGGUCUGCGUCAAAUCCUGAAACUCCCGUGCCAACUGCUGCACCUCAAUAAUCGGCGAAAACUCUGCCUUGAACCUGGCCGAGAAAUCGCUCCAAAUCAUCGCGUCCAACGCGGCACCAUUCCCCUAAAGCAUGACCAACCUCCUCACACCGAUCCCUCGCUCUGUCCUUCAGAAGACAAGAAACGAGUCUGACCUUGUCCCCCUCAGGACACCGGCUCGUACGGAAUGCGUUGGCAACAUCAGCCAACCAUCUGCUGCUAGUGAUGGGGUCCCUAGCCCCAUGAUAAUCUGGUGCCCCGCAAGCCCUGAACUCUCGAAAUGUCAAGGUACGCGCUCCCAUCAAUGCCAUCAUCUCAGUACGGAAGGCUCCCAGCCUCUCAUCAAAAAUCUCCAAUAUACCCUCCUUGAUCGUGCCAAAGAUCACAGGAGUCUGAUCUAGAAUACUGCACGUAACCUCAGUUGAUAUCACCUCCCUCAUUUGCUCCUCGAGCUGCUCGGCCCCUGAACCCAAGCCUGAUCCCUCUCCGGCGCCUGAUACGCCCGCUGGUCUCUCUCGCAACAACACCAUGCUGAAGAUAUAAUACAUCCUCUAUCAGAAUACUUAUCACUGCUGCGAGACCAAACACACAACUUACCAGGUUCCCGGUCUUGUCUCGGCCUUGCCUGAAUCGAGUACGGAUCCUCUGCUUUCAGUAGUACGGGCCCAUACUACCUUCCACAUCUAUCUGUACCUUCCCCAGGAAUUGCUUCGACUCCACUAGGUCCCUUAUCCACUACUACUGCUCCCAACACUAUCUCAUCCUAGGCUUACCCUAGGGAAACCUCUAACUCAACUCAAACCAGUCCUCAGCUGCUGAAGGCCUCCUUGUAAUGCCAAUUAGCCAUCAACUGAAUACCAUCACAUGUGACGAGGCUUAGAUAAUCCUUCGAGUAAAAGACUCGUCCUUACAACGGUUGGACUCAAACAAGAGCUGCGAAAUAGGGCCAAACCCAACACUCUGAGAUUAUCCAACCCUGAUCACAUGUGGUGUGAUGUAUCCACCUAAGGGCUAACUCCCAUCACUCGGAAUCCCACAAUGCACAAAGCAAACAGCAUUCAGACAAAGGAAAAUCUAACCAUAACAUACACAAGCAAUCAUGAUCUCAUAGCAAGAAUCUGCACUAGCAUGCAACACAAACUCAUAAACCCAGGCAUAACCUAAAUAGGCUAUCCUACUACUGUCUAAUCAGCACUAUCAUGCAGCUCAAAGCACAUAUAACAGGCACAUAAGGCAUCCUCCCUAGAUCCUUAGUCCUAAUCUAGCAUGCUGUUCUACUAACUGAUAAACAUAUCAUAAACUUGUAUGGGUAUUUUGGGGUACUUACUUGAGCUCGGCUGAUUGCAUGCAUCACACCCUUUUACUUUUAUUCAAAGUUCUUUAUUUUAUGAAUUCUUUUUGCUUUUCUAAAACUGUUUUCUUUCUCAAAACUCUCUUUUUACAAAGCUGUCUUUUUAUUUUGAAAAUUUCUAUAUCGAUUCCUCAGUUUGAGUUCAGACACACCCGAGAGCAUGUUCGAAUCCCUCAAACCAAGGCUCUGAUUCCAACUUGUAACGUUCCAAAAUUCAAGACUAAAAAUUUCUUUUAAUAAAACAUUACUUAAAGUAAAAUCAUCAAUUCCAAACAUAAUCAGGGUAUUAAUUUCCAAAAUACAUAUACGUUAUCAGAGUAAAACAUUCCCAGGCAGACUAAUAUAUGGUGUGUGCCAUGCGAUCAUCUCGAGCUCCUUCAUCCGCUACCGGAAGUACCUAAAACCAAAAUUGAAAACCGUAAGCACGAAGCUUAGUGAGUUCCCCCAUCAUACCAUACAAUCACAUAUCAUACAUACUGCCGGGCAAUUCUGGGGUGCCCGACCUACCCGGUACGGCCAUUCUGGGGUGCCAACCUACCUGUGUCAAGCCAUUCUGGAGUGCUGACUACCCAUGUCGUCAAGGCAUUCUGGGGUGCUGACUACCCAUGUCAAGCCAUUCUGGGGUGUUGAAUACCCUUCGGUCCUAACGACCGAACAUCGGGGACUGUUUCACCCCGUACUACUACUACUAUUAUCACAUAUCAUAACGUAACAGAUUAUCAGACAUAUCUGGGGUGUCUGAACUACCCUUCGGUCCUAACAACCGAACUUGGGGACUGCUCCCCUCCUACUAUCUCUAACUCACAUAACAGAUCAUGCUAGCAUGUAAACAUAACAUAACAUACUGUCAGACGUAUCUGGGGUGUCUGACAACCCUCCGGUCCUAACAACCGAACUCUACUGAUGAGUCAAGGAACCCCGUCCAUGCUCCUACUGAUAGUGAGAUACGGGCCCAGCCCACCCUCACUCUUUACCUAACUUGGGCCUCGCCCCUUAUCUACUGCUACUGACNUGCUGCUAAUGAGAUGUGGAACACCAUCCACACUCUGCUAUUGGUGAGGUACGGGACCUCGCCCACACUCACCUGCUUACCAGGCACAUACAAGUAUCACACAGACAACAAGUAUAAACUAUCACAUAAACGAUUCCUUGGGCACCCGCCCGCUAUCAUUGGACCUUGUCCUAAAUAUCAUACUAGCAUACUGUGCCUAGGGCUAACCCCCGGAUCAUCUACUCAUAACUACAUGGGCCGGCAUUGUGGCCAUAGACCCAUUCACACAAAAGGGAAACUCACCUGCACUGGCUGAACUCGCUGAUGAUCCCACUAGCUGCUGUCCGGCAACUCUCUGAACUCCUGCUCCACUAGCUCCCCGAGCUACCAAUAUCAAUGCAACACUUAGUCUAACUGACCCCUUCAAUAUCUCAGAAAGGUUCCACAACUCCAGAUCUAAAUCCAAUCCUUGAAGCUUCAAUGAUUCCCCUCUUUCUUCUUCCUUCAAAUCACCCAAAAAUGGCUUGGAAGCUUGAAUGCGCAGC